rnacentral:lncRNA from 1 species
GGAUAUAAAUAAUAGAAAUUGACAGAUAAAAAGGGAUCCUCAAAAGAACCAAACAGGUCCAGACAGACCAAAUUUUGUCACCAACAAUCUAACAUAAAUCUCUUCCUGCUCCAAGAUUCCCACGCUCAACUUUCACAACAUUCUAAAACGUAACUGACAUAGAAAACUCUUGUAUAGGGGCUUCGAAAUCUUAAUGAAAGCUAAAAUAUCAUCAUAUAUAUAAUGCGAUAGUUGAGCAUGAAAGGAGCUUGCUCGGUAGAGAGGAGAACAUCCGUUCAAGGGUUAAGCAUGACUUUUCAUAUCGACGCCGCCUCUUCUUAGAGCAGGUUUUUCAUUGAUGAAGAUUAUUCAACAAAUUUUUAUUUUAUUUUUUAAUUUUUGUGUGUAAAAAAACAAAUAAU